CUUUCCAUGAGUGACUAUUUUUCUCUAGGUUGGGAUCGUUCUCUUUUCCAUUCAUUACUUCUUUUCUCUUGUAUAGCAUAUUUGCCUAGUUGUGCUUUUAUUGUUUUCAUAUUGUUUAUGCCUGCACCAUUCUGACAGGUAACUUCUUGAUCUCUUCCCAACAAUUUGUGACCAGGCUAUUUUGGGCCCGAGCUUAGGUGAGGAGCUGAGAUAUCUUAUGUUGUCUCUACUUUUCUGCAGCCCGAAGGAACGUCUCUGGGUGGAGAAUGAGGAAGUCUCUCUUCCCUGAGAUUUCAUCAGAAGUCCUGCUUUAGGGUACCCUUCUCCAGGGUUGAGAGUAUGGGUACUGCUCAGUAGGAGAUUCCCCUGGGAUCUUGACUGCUCCUGUAAUUCAGAGUAUUGUCUUAGAGACUUUGCUUCCAUCAGAUGGAUUCUGCCGAUGCUUCAGGUUCCCUGGUUCACCCGCUUCUCUGAGCAUCAGUCUCCGUUGUUUUGUUGUGAGACAGAAGAAGGAGAAGGAGGAGGAAGAGAAGGAUGAGGAGGAAAGGAGGAGGAAGAGGAGCAGAAGGAGGAAGGGGAGGGGCAGAACAACCAUCACCAUGGCCAUCCCCCGCCAGAGCACCCACCCCACUUGCUUUCUUCUCCUCUUGGUGUCUGUGAGAAAGCCCAGGAUUUUGUCACCUCCCAGCCCAGUCUCUGGGACGAGGAGCCUCGGUGGCAUGGGUACUCCAGGAUCUUCUGAGUCUUUCUUUGAUCUUCAUUUGGUGUGGUUUACGGCUUUAGGAUAAAACCCUUCCCUUUUUUUGGUUGCUGGGGGUGAUGGGGGGUGAAAUGGCGGUGGGGAGGUUUUUUGCAGCCUUUUACUAGAGUUUCUCACGUGGUUGGUGUUUGCGGCCAAGAACUUCCACAGGGACAGUUCAGUCGGCUGCCUCACUGGGGACUUCCAUCCUGGCAGUGCCUGGGCUCCUCAGGAAGACAGUGGUCAGUUGAGUCCUUGCCAAGCCAGGCUGGCUUCGAGGAGGAGUGAUUGAGGCGAUUGUUUUCAGUGGCUUUGCGACAAGAUCCCACAUUCAGCCUGAUAAUGCAGACUCUUUCAAGGUCAGUCCUCUGGGCUCCAUCUAUAAAACAAAUGUUUGUCAUCCUCCGUGCCCAAAACGGUGCCUGGAACAGAGAGGUGCUCCACAGUUAUGGAGGAAUUGAAUGAAUGAAUGAAAAUUUAAAGAAGAAGGUAGGAGAGGAUCCAUGCAAGGGGCUGGUGGCUUCUCUGCUUCCUGAUUCUGUUUCUUCAUCCCCUCCUGGACACCUGGGCUCUUACAGAAUUGGUUUGUGCAGUGUGAAAGGAAAAUCAAUCUUGGGACCCUAAAAUCACUAAGGUCCACAAAGGGAAAAGUCAAGCUGGGAACUGCUUAGAGCAAACCUGCCUCCCAUUGUAGUCCUAAAAAAGAUGGCUACUAAGAUAAAAAAGCCACAUACCUCCCUCACAAGAAAUUUCCUUGUGGACCAAGGACAGACAGAACUCAAAGUCAUCCCUCUGUUCACUGAGAUGAAUGCAUAUCUGCCUCCUUUGGAGAGGCUCAUCAGAAACGGAAAAGAAUGCAACCAUUUGUGUCUUAUCUACCUAUGACCUGGAAGCCCCUCCCCGGUUCCAGUUGUCCCACCUUUCUGGACAGAAGCAAUGUACAUUUUACAUAUAUUGAUUGAUGUCUCAUGUCUCCCUAAAAUACAUAAAACCAAGCUGUGCCCCAACCACACUGGGCACAUGUGGUCAGGACCUCCUGAGGCUGUGUCAUGGGCAGGCACCCUUAUCUUUGGCAAAAUAAACUUUCUAAAUUGACUGAGACCUAUCUCAAAUGUUUGGGAUUCACAGCAGGGAAUGAUGGAGGAUUGGAAAGUGCCUCGAGGGGAGGAGGGCUGCUCUUUGCUGUGAGGCUCUGUUCGGGUGCACAUUUUGGGAGCUGGCCUGGGGCUUUCCUUUCCUUUGUUUCCGUGGCAGCCAGAGCAAGGUGUGGCCCCUCCCCGUGGAGCUCAUGGUGCUGUGGAUAAAGGAUAUGUAGACAGGCAGUCACAGCCUCCCCACUCUGUGAUGGGCAGGGCAGGAAAGUUAGAGGGCAUGAGGUAGGGUAAGCCCAGGAAGGCUUCCUGGAGGAGGUGGCACUUUGACCUGAGUGGAGACCAGAGUGAGAUUCUGAGAGUUUAUCAGGUGGACCCAGGGAGGGGGAGGGAGUGGAAGAGCAUCCCUGAUGGGGACUGGCACAUACCAAGACUUGGGGCGAGAGCUGCAGGCUAGAAUCUGGGGGCAUCAUCUUAGACAGAGUCUUUAUACGUCCACACAGAGUUCAAGAAAACUGAGAAUAGACUCACAUAAUCCUGAACAUAGGUCAAUUUUGAAUUCCAGAUGGCAAGAAUAAAGAGAAUGAGGCAGACAGUAAUGGCUAAGUGAUUUCCAGAAUUGAAGAAAGGCCCAAGUUCUCCAGCUGAAGAUGUUCACUGAGUCCUAAAUAGGAUCAUUAAAUAGAAAUGCACACCUGGGCCCAAUGUUGGACAACAAAAAGGCAAACAAAGCAUUUUUAAAGCAAACACAGAGGAAAUACAAAUUACUACAAUAAAGAGAGAGGGGAGGAAGGAAGAAUAGGAAGAGAAAGAAGAAGAAAUUUAAGAGGAGGAGGAAGAAGAGAAGAAGGAAGAGGAGGAGGAGGAAGAAAAGGAAGAGGAGGAGGAAAAAGAGGAGGAGGCAGAGGAGGAGAAGGCGGAGGAGGAAGAGGAGGAGGAAGAGGGAGCAGAGGAAGAGGCAGAGGAAGAGGAGGAGGACCCGGCGGAGGAGGCGGAGACGGAGGCGGCAGAGGAGGAAAAGGAAGCAGAAGAGGAAGAGGAGGAGGACGCGGCGGAGGAGGCAGAGGAGGCGGAGGCGAAGGAGGCGGCGGCGGAGGAGGCAGCGGAGGAGGAGGCGGAGGAGGCGGAGGAGGACUGACAAUAGCAACAAUAACUGGCUGAAAGCCAGCUUUGUAAUAUCCUCAAACUUCUGAAGGAAAAUAAUGAAGGCUAGAAUCCUCUACCAAACUAAAACCAAUGAACACCCUUUAAGUCUAAUGCAAGAAAUUCAGACAAACGGAGCACAAGUUAUGACAAGAUGGUUCUGUUGAAUGGAUAAAAAUGUGGGCAGCCAGCCCGGCACGGUGGCUCACGCCUGUAAUCCCAGCACUUUGGGAGGCCGAGGCAGGCAGAUCACUGGAGGUCAGGAGUUCAAGACCAGCCUGACCAACAUGGUGAAACCCCAUCUCUACCAAAAAUACAAAAAUUAGCCAGGUGUGGUGGCAGGCACCUGUAAUCCCAGCUACUUGGGCAGCUGAGGGAGGAGAAUCGCUUGAACCUGGAAGGGGGAGGUUGCAGUGAGCCAAGAUCACACCACUGCACUCCAGCCUGGACUAUGGAGUGAGAUUCUGUCUCAAAAAUAAAAUAAAAUAAAAUGUGGGCAGGCUAAUACAUCUGUGAGUCCAGGAGCAGCUUUUCUCCUAGCACUCGAACCAUGAAAGCAAAAUGGCUCCCUCUAUUUUAGCAGCUGCCAUUACUAACAAUAAAGUGCUGAAUAGAAGUCUGUAUAAAAAGAAUAUUUAUAGCACAUGUCCUCAAACAUGUAUCGGGAAAUACCAAUUUAUAAUAAAAAGUAAAUAAGGGUACUAUGGUGAAAUGUAUUAUUUAACCCCGGAGCAGCGCACGUCUUCUGCAAGUUAGAUUUUGGAGGUGGGGCACGGUGGCUCAUACCUGCAAUUCCAGCAUUUUAGGAGGUUAUUGCCUUUGGAGCUAACACCCCGGUUACUAAGGACUCGGCAGACCCUUCCCUCCUACUGUUCCCUGGGUCAAGAUCAUUUUCCCCAGGGUUUUAGGAUCAUUUUCUAAGAGGCCCAGGAGACUGGAUUGAAAAUGUAAAAAAAAAAAUAUUUAAGCACAUGUCUUCAAACAUGUAUCAGGAAAUAUUAAUUUAUAACAAAAUUAAACAAGGUUACUAUGAUGAAAUUUACUGUUUAAUCCCUGAGCAGCACGUGGUCUUUUACAAGUUAAACUUUGGAGGCCAGGCGUGGUGGCCCAUACCUGUAAUUCCAGCACUUUGGGAGGCUGAGGCAGGCAGGUCACUUGAGGCUAGGAGUUUGGGACGAGGCUAGGCAACAUGGCAAAACGCCUUCUCUACAUAAAAAAAUUCAAAAGUUAGCUGGAUGUGGUGGUGUGCACCUGUAGUCCCAACUAAUCCAGAGGCUGAGGUGGGAGGAUCACUUGAGUCUGGGAGGCACAGACCACAGUGAGCUGAGAUCCCACCACUGCACUCCAGCCUGGGAGGUAGAGCCAGACCCUGUCUCAAAACAAAAACAAAAAAGUUAGACUUUGGGGUAAUAAAGACAGUGCAUGCCAAUCAUAACUGCCUAGAGGAAUAGAACACUGCUGUCAAGAGUGGACGGAAAGGGAGAGAAGCCCUGCCUUGCUCCAGGUCAGCAUCCUGGACAGUUCUGCAGCAGCUCUGCGGAUGGGAGAUGCAGCGGUGACUUGCCAGGGCCGCCAUGUGUUGCUGUCCGGUGGAAGACAAGCCUGGACUUUGAAAUUGUUUUCCCAACAGAAAAGGUCACUGGAAAUAAGUGGUGUGUUGUCUCUACUCUGUGAAACAUACACUCUGAUGGGGAAGCGAAGCGCAGAGAUGCUCAUCUAGUGUAUGUGAAUUCAAUUCUGUUUGCUGCAGAGAGGGAGUCAGGGAGACAGGGCGAGCCAGGGAGAGGGGGGGAGCCGGGGAGAGGUGGGGA
rnacentral:lncRNA from 1 species